UGAGGAAUAUUGGUCAAUGGGCGCAAGCCUGAACCAGCCAUGCCGCGUGCAGGAAGACGGCUCUAUGAGUUGUAAACUGCUUUUGUACUAGGGUAAUUUGCGGUACGUGUACCGUAUUGAAAGUAUAGUACGAAUAAGGAUCGGCUAACUCCGUGCCAGCAGCCGCGGUAAUACGGAGGAUCCAAGCGUUAUCCGGAUUUAUUGGGUUUAAAGGGUGCGUAGGCGGCAGAUUAAGUUAGAGGUGAAAUUCCGAGGCUCAACCUUGGCACUGCCUCUGAUACUGGUUUGCUAGCGAGUAGAUGC
rnacentral:rRNA from 1 species